rnacentral:lncRNA from 1 species
AAGAAGGGUUGCCUGAGGGGCUCCUGACAGCCUCUUCCCUCUCCUCCCCAAGGCCCCCACAUCCAGCCUGCAGACAGGCUCUUACCUGGCCAUGGGCAGUGGUACCCAGCAGGGCAGGGGAGGCACUCCGCCUGACUAUGGCCUCCAUCUGUUGCCAGGUUCAGCAGCCUGAACGGGGGCUUGGCUCUGGCUCUCCAGUCCUCAUCCAUGAUGCCCCAGAACUCAACCUUCCAUCUGAGAGCUGAACUCGCUCCUCCAAUGUUCUCUGAAUAAUGGAAGUGUCAGAGCAGAGGGAUUCAAGGAUCCUGGCCAAGGAUCAGCUGCCCUAUCUGCCUUCACAUGUUCCUGAGGACCCAGAGACUCCAGGCUGCCCCCUGACCACUGGAGAUGGCUGCAAAGGGGGCGUCCUCUGGAAGAUGGUCAGCAGCCUCUAGAGGAAGCAGACAUCCUGGACGCUGACCUCCAGGGCCUAAUGCUCUGCCCCCUCUCCUGACCUGCACCUCGAGGGGGAUGUGUAGAGGGUCUGCUCUGGGAGUCUUGGCUGUGGCCCCCACCUACCCAAGAAAGCCAAUGCCCACGAUCAGCUCAGCUUCUGGGUGGCCCAUGGGGCACCAUUCGGUGUCCACUGACUGCAACCCCCUCCCCCCAACACCCGUCCUCUCUGUCCACCUCCCGGCAAACCUGUGGUGGAUUCAGCAGGUCUGAGUGAGACAGAGGUGGGCUGGGAGGCCGCAGGUGUGACCGUAAAUGGGCAGGGCAGCCAGACCACAGCACGCCUCAGCCAUCUGACUCCAGCCCCUCUUACAUACGUCCCCUCCAUCCUCAAACCACCCACAGCCCAUCGGUGCCAAACCAUGAGAGCCCCCACCUCAGGGCGUUGGGUGGUACAGGGCUCACCCGCUCCCAGGGGGCUCCACACCUGUCGGGGUUGGGGAGGAGGCUCCUGCCAGACAGAAGUAGCCGGGGGAGCAGGGGCCAGAGGGCGCAGCCAGGCCAGAGGCACCACAGAAAUGGCCAGGGGGACAGGACAGGCCUCUCUGAAAGGGUGGACCCAGGCGCACCCUGGCAGAGACCACCUUUCCGCGAUUUCCUUUUCAUCUCUCCUCUCUCAGGCUCCCUGUGACUCCUGCCUACACUGGCUCCAGGUAGCAUUUCCGGCAGGUGCCUGAGGGAAAGUGUGGCAGGGCUCUUCUCUCUGUCUCUCUUUCCCCUCUGAGAUAUGCACCUGGUUAUAAUUCUUCUCUGUCUUAAUCCCAAUUCAAGCUCAGGCCGUCCAGGGCCACAGACCUCUGUGAUCUGGCAGCUACAAUCAGAACAUCUAACAGUGCCCCACACUACCCCCCGCCCUCCCCUGAGCCAUCAGCUCCACGACUGGCCCUUGCUUUGGGCUGUCUUCUCUUGGGAGCUGGGAGGGUCCUAAAGAUGAGGAGAUGGGUCUGGUCUCAAAAGAGAUAUCGGCAGACACAAAUUCUUAAUGGCUUUGCUUUCUUGAGUAUGACGUGUUCUCAAGCCCCUCAAAGCCCGCAUGGCCUGCCCUCGAUCUGGCCCCUCCAACCGACACUCCCCAAGGCUUUCUGCCCUCGCAGCCCAGGUGGAAGUCCGGCUCUCCAAGCCUCACACUCUCCCAUGGCUGGGGGAUGUUGUUGGUCAGCUGUUAAGUGGAAAGGAGGACCGAGAGGAGGUCUGGGCUCAGCCCCUGGGACCAGGGCAGUGGCACUCAUACUCACUAACCUGAGAAGGUGCCCAUAGGGCAGGGCAGGGCCACCCCUGUGCCCACUGGACAGAAGUGACCUAGAGGGCAGGGCCCUCCCGCAGUCACAUGGAUGCCUUUAUUGGGAUGAGUGACCUCAGCUCUUGCCCAGAGAAUCAGAAGUGGCUGAGAUUGCAGAGCAGCCCUCCCUGGCCCCCACUCAGGCUCUCGACCACCCCCAGCUCACACACCCCUGCAGUGGGACAUUUCCCAGAAUAAGGGAGCAGAGCUCGCGAGCUGGAGUGACAGUGCCCUCCACUGCCAGGGUGGCUCUCAAGCCCAGGGACGGCAGUGGGCCCUGAGAUGCGGCCCCUUCUGAAUUAAUUCUUGGCUAUCUGUGCCAGACCCUGCUUAGGAGCCCAAAGCUGGGGAGAAAGCAUGGGGGUUCCAGGACUUGCCCAUCCUGUGGAAAGGUGGGUGUGGUGCCUUCAGCCCCACUCUUGGUGUGGAGGGCACUGCAAGGCACUGAAGAGUUGGGGCUCCAGACCCCACUCAGGGAGCCUCCAGAUGAGUGUUCUAGAAACCUGCUUCCACUCCAGCUAAGCUUGUUUUCAUUUACAUAUUCAUUAUGUCAUCACUUAUGGUUUGCUCAAACCCUUUCUGAAUGAGAUGGACCUAAUUUAAUAAAAAUUACACUGACAAGUACUCUAA